AGUGAACGCUGGCGGUAGGCCUAACACAUGCAAGUCGAACGGCAGCACAGUAAGAGCUUGCUCUUACGGGUGGCGAGUGGCGGACGGGUGAGGAAUACAUCGGAAUCUACUUUUUCGUGGGGGAUAACGUAGGGAAACUUACGCUAAUACCGCAUACGACCUACGGGUGAAAGCAGGGGAUCUUCGGACCUUGCGCGAUUGAAUGAGCCGAUGUCGGAUUAGCUAGUUGGCGGGGUAAAGGCCCACCAAGGCGACGAUCCGUAGCUGGUCGGAGAGGAUGAUCAGCCACACUGGAACUGAGACACGGUCCAGGCGCCUACGGGAGGCAGCAGUGGGGUAUAUGGGACAAUGGGCGCAAGCCUUAUCCAGCCAUACCGCGUGGGUGAAGGAGGCCUUCGGGUUGUAAAGCCCUUUUGUUGGGAAAGAAAAGCAGCAGGUUAAUACCCCGCUGUUCUGACGGUACCCAAAGAAUAAGCACCGGCUAACUUCGUG
rnacentral:rRNA from 1 species